CUUUAUGUUCUUUGUUUUAAAUUUUGUUUCUUUGGAAACUCUAAGAACUUAGGAUCAUUCAUUUUCCGUUUGUGUUCUGGUUUUGCAGAUACGUUAAAAGGCUCGUUUUAUGCAAAUCCAAUAUUGGAUAGCCCUACAACAGAUGAAUCUCUAAUUCAAAGGUAUCCAUCAUACUGUGGUUCAAAUAUAUGGCCCGAUAGUGAAUUGCCAGAACUAGAACCUUCAAAGCUCUUGGAAAGGUGUUCCUUGGAGUUGGGCUUAUGGUCGCAUAUCACUGUGACAGAUACGGUAUGGUCUUUGUUGUUAAGGUUUACACUAAGAGAGCAUAGCUAUCCUGUUUAGUGUUUUUCCGGUCGCAUUUUACACUUAAGUUUUCAUGACACUUAAGUUUUCAUGACGCAUGUUGCAAACAUCAUACAUUUUUCAAGCCAAAUUUCUCUCUUGUCAGUUGUCAUCAUCGACUUCCUUUCCCGACACGGGUACAUUAGCCCCGAAUCCUUUGGAUACCUGGAUCUACUACAUAUAUAUUAAAAUUUGCAUCGAUUUUCUUCUUUUCUUAUUCUCUGUAUCUCUCAAUUUUUCUUCCCCUU